rnacentral:lncRNA from 1 species
AGUUAAUAUAUAAUACAAUUAUAACUGUCGCAAAAUUUAGGGGGGGGGGGGGGGGCAGGGCCCAUGCCCCCCAAAUCUGUGUCUGAUGGCAUAAAUAAUAAUAGAAAUAAUAAUACUCAUACAGUACUAUCUUUCAAACAUGUGUAUUUUAAAACCAGACUCACCAAAAUAAUCCAGUGUUCCUCCAAUCUGUUCGUCGGUCAGCGUGAGGUCAAGGUCGGGCGGUACGAUGGGCGUCUGUAUGAUCCAGUCCUUGUGGUUGUAGCCACCGAACUGUGUGGUUGUGUCGGCACGGAGACGAUAUCGCGGAAUCUGCUCCUCGAUCAGACUUACUAUCUCCACCUCAUCAGCGCUGUUACACACAUCUGAAAUACAGUACAUGAAUCAACUGUAAAAUCAAGCAACCACCCAUACAUAGAUUGAAUAGAAAUACAAACCUGUGACCACUCCAACAUCUCGAGUUUUGCUCAUUGGAAUUUCAUCAAGGGCCACAACUCCGUUUUCUUUGGUUGUGUCCACGGCAGCACCAUUACACACUCCAGUAUCAUGAGCAGCCAGUUUGUCAGACUGUGCAAAACAUUGUGAAAGACUGGAUAGGCUGGCCGUCCCUGGACCGCAGAUGGACAGCAAUCUGAGAAACAGAAUGUUAGAGACGUUAUCCUGUGAAAGUCUUGGAAGUUGUUUGUUAGAUACUAUUUGUUCUAUUUGAAAUUUGUUUUGCGGUAUGUAAU